UUAACAAUUUAUUCUAUUCGUUUCCAAUAAAAGCUUUGCGUCUGCCUUACUCGACCUCUGCCUCCAUUCUACUCUCUCUCCGCUCUGCGUUAUCCGGCUGGUACUCUUUGGCGAACGACCGCCCGUGGAACAUCCAAGUUAUUAAGAGUAUUACAUAUGGAGGGGCAGACUACUCAUUCGAAUGCAUAGGUGAUAUUGGAAUGAUAACCACCGCAUUGCAGUCUUGUUGCGAUGAAUGCGGUUUGACAGUUACACUUGGAGUGCCAAAAGUAAAACCAGAAAUAACAGCUCAAUGCAAUGUUUCUUACGGGAAGAACAUUGAAAGGAACCCUAUAUGGAGGAUGGAAACCCAAAUCUGACCUUCCUUCAUUAGUGGACAUGUACACUGAGAAGUACCAUAGGUGGCUUUUAUUGAAUGCUAUAUGCUAGCAUGGGUUGCUAAGAGUACUAGUUUUUGAUGCAGUAAAGACCCUGAACAUAUUUGGUCCAUACUAAAAUUCUUAAUUUAGAUGUACCAAAGGACGUGUCAGACAUACAAUUUUGUGUUUCAGUUUGGAUCGCUAUAUUCAUCCUGGAAUUCUGUAUGAGGGGUAAUCCGGAUUGAUGAGUACAUAACGCACAACCUGCAGUUUGAGGAAAUCAACAAAGCUUUUAGUCCUCAUGAAAGAGGGCAAGUGUUUGCGUUGUGUCAUCCACAUGCCAAACUGAUAUUGUCUCAAACUGAUGAACAACAUGUUUGUCAGGUACAGGCUUGGUUGCUAUGAUGAACGCACACCAAAUUUCUGCACAAUGAAAAUUUAUUUUUAUUGUAUCCUGAAACAAAACAUUGCACCUGGGAUCUGCGACUGGUAAUCAAAAUUUGUGUUUAUGUCAACAUGCAUAUUUUGCUCAUCAGAUCAACUUUAUAAUCACUCGUAUGUUUGGAGAAACCAAAUAUCAUUUGAAGGUUAGAAAAUAAUUAAGGAAAUGAGAAAUAACAAUAAAAAAAUAUAUAUAUAUAUUAACACCAUCUAAAUCCAAAACUAAAUGCAAAAGCGUUGCUAGGCUUAUGUUAAAGAAUUAGCAACAAUUUAGUAGGGGACCAAUACAGUAAGCAUUUAUUUCUAUUUAUUUAAAGAAUAGGAUAAAUAACAAAAUUUUUAAUUUUCUUUUUUUGUGAAAAAAGAGUUUUACCAUAUUCAUAUUGUUACAUGUGCUUGAAGACGCUGUGAAGGCACAUGGCCCCUACCAAGUCCGAUAACAAUUUUUCUCUUUAUUGGUAUGUAACCAGUGAAACUGUUUUCAUAUGCCAAGCAAAGCCCAACUGAAAAAAAUGUAUUUAGGACAAACUAAAGAAACGUACAACAAAACCCUUUCUGAAGCAGGGCCAAUUGAAUCCAGACAAAAGAAGAAAAAACAUUUAUAAUAAUAGUUUCUUGCUUAGCUGAACUAACCCACAUAUAGUAGACAUGUAGAGCUUGUAUAUGUGAUUAUUAGGCGAGGAAUGGUGAGAAGCAACCCAAAUCACCUCCUAUCCUAUGAGCAACAGAGUCCCUUAAACAAAGCCCUGAAAACGAAGAUUCUAAGGCUAUUAAUAUGUUAUCCAAGGCUUUCUUGUAAAGCUUUUCAAUUCAUACUUUUGAGUAAGAAGAACAACAUCAAUCGAUAUUA